rnacentral:lncRNA from 1 species
UGAGAUCGCAUUACACACCCAAUCGGACGGUGGAAAUCGCUCCUUCUCAUAUCCAGCGAUGGUGGCCCACAUCAUUUACACGAUUGGAUGGUUUGAAGCCAUCUAAAGGCAUGAUCCAAUGGCUGGCAUUCAUUGUCGGCUGAGAACUAAACUAGAGAAGAGGAUUUUUGCAUCAUCCGAUGGUUCAGAAUCAAUCUCAGGUG